UCUUAAAUAGAAAUGAAAAAUACUUUGAAUAGUAUAAUAUCUUGCAUCUGCUUUAUAAAGGCGUUGUUUUUGUGCAACGUUCUACAGAUAAUAUAUAUAUUUAAUUUUACAUACAUAAAAUAAAAUUAAUGUUAUAUAAAUCAAAAAUGCAAGUGAUUAAAAUCUUAUAGAUACGAACGAUUUAGUACGAUAAUGAACUCUCAUUUCAUUUCCUUCGUCUAUGUAUAUACAUAAAGAAGAGACAUACUUACGUAUGCACACGCAAAAGACAUUCGAUAUGCGUAUUUCGAUACUUUAAGGUCGCCCGCAAAUAGAAACCCUCGUUCGUGAUGCGGAUCUUUCGAGAGAAAGAAAGAAGGAAAGAAAAAAAAAAGAAAAAGAAAUGCAGUACUACGAGACAGACAUGGGUGAUCAAUUUCACGAGAUCGGCAAAGAAUGGAAAGCAAACCGUUAUUUUGUAUAAGAAUGUAAAUCGUCGAAUUAGCAACGAGAUGCUUUUUCGCGACCUGAUAAUUAUUCGACGAGAAAUCGUAUGAGAAAUUCUUACAAUCACAUUCAAUCGAUGUAAAUAGGUGCUUACGAAUGAUCAGGUAGUUUGUUGCGGGAAUUUUAAAUUUACGAUUCGCUACGAUUGUUUUUUCGUUAUUUAUAACCUAGAAAAGUCAAUCUCGAUUUGGCAAAGGAAUUCUUGAUCGAUUUAUUUCCUCUUCGCGUAAGAACAAACCUAUAUAAUUCUUAUUAUUAUAAUAAUUAUUGACUUUUUUCAAUUACACUUUUAUCGAAAUGUCUAAAUACAAUAAACCACAAUCCAUUUCCAGAUAUAACAGAUUAUACAAAGAACAUAAUUCGUUGUUCCAAAAAUCUUGAAAAUAACUUUACAAUUUGAUUGAUUUCUUUCCAAAGAAUUUUGUAUUAUAAGCUUUUGCGUGGUAUUUGUCAAUAAACAAUUUUCAAUUUGUAUUUGUCUAACGUAACAAAACAUUUAUUAAUAACUACUUCGUUUUAACGAGAAUCAAUUGAUCCACAAUUGAACUUGUUUACGUAAGAUAUAUUUCGUUUCAAGGAGUCAUAAUUCGAAUUACAAAAUCUAUAAUGUAGCUAAUCGCGACAUCUAUGUAUAAAAAUGUUUAACUUUAAAGUACUAAUUACAAGUAGCAUUAAAUAGUGCUAAAUGGUGCUAAAUAUUACAAUUUUAAUGUGUAUCUACGAAAUAAGAAAUGAUAAUUGGAUUGAAGAAGGAAGAGAAUUUGUUUAUUUCAAUAAUCGUCAAAGCACUAUCUAAUUGUAAGAUUGAAUCAGAAUAAUGACAGAAAGAAAUUACAACGAAGUAGAAUAAAGAAGAGAGUUAAAGAGAAAGAAAGAGAUCAGUGAUAAAUUCUUUGGUAUGGUAAUACACACAUUCCACAUAUCACAACGCUUUAAGAAUUAUUCUAUAGGGUGUCGCGAGAAAAAAGAUGUAGGUAUUUCUUCCUCAAUAAAUAAUAACUGCCCCAUUCAUGCUCGCUCUAGCGUAAAAACACUAAAUAAAAGAAGAGAAAAGAAAGAAAUAAACGUGUACUUUAAUUAUAUGAAGUAUAAUGAUCUAUGUCAUUAGCACCAUUAAAACGAAAGAAGAUUUAUGCGAUUAAGUAACGCUCUGUUUGUAAUCAUUAGUAUCUAAGAAAACUUUUUAUUGACAUGCAUUUCGUAUAUCUGAUAGAUUUAAGCAAGGCAUUUCAAUUUCACAUUCCUACUUCAUUACCAGAGAAAGAAAAAAAGAGAGAGGAGGGAGAAAGAAAGAGAGAGAGAGAAAGAGAGAAGAAAGAAAGAGAAAAAGAGAGAGAGAGAGAAGAAAGAAAGAAAAAAAGAAAGAGAGAAGAAAGAGAAAGAGAGAGAGAGAGAGAGAGAGAAGAAACAGAAAGAGAGAGGGGGGGAGAGAAAGGGAAAGAGAGGGAGAGAAAGAGAGAGAAUAUGGUAUCUAAUCUUUAACAUCAAGCUGAUGUUUCCAAGGCGUUACAAAAUGUUAUGACGUAUUAAUAUAUCGAAGUCAUGUAGAUAUACGUAGGUAGAAGUUGAAUCCCUUCGUACGCAAUCAAAUACGCCUAUACACUGGCAGUACUUUCAUAGUUCAACACACCUACGCUUUAUAGAUAUAUAAUUCGGAUUAUUUUCAAACAUUUCUCAAGACUUCAAUAAACUAUUACGAGAUACCGAUCAUCUCAGCAAGUAUAAUGGAUAAUUGAAAUGUUUCAAACGAAUCCAAUAAAAAGUUCUCUCAUCUAUGUGAAGAUCAACGUCAAAACGUAGCCCUAACAUAGAAGACAUCUACAUAGCGUAACGAAUCACGUACACGUGGUCACCACUGUGGAGAAUGCAUUUCUUUAUAUGGCAUCUAUAUAAUAUUCUUCACAAUCUAUCUAGUGGCAUAACGCAUAUACUUUAGCGUUCUAUUCAUGGUCACCGAUUUUACCGUUAAAACGCGACAUUUCCGUUCAUUGCUAGAUAUAAAUAUGAGUUUCCUUUUAUAGAUGUGAUAGAUAUUGAAAAGGAACAAUUUUAACGUACUCCAUCUUUGAGAAGAAGCUAACUCGAUCAACCUUUCCUGAGUAGGCACGUAUUUGUACGCCUAUUAUGUGAUCAAGGUGCAUAAUGCGGUGUCUUAAAUUGCGUGGGAGAUAUAGGAUCAUAAUAAUCGUCCAGGAAACCCAUGGCUGAAGAUAUUGUCUUAUACAAAAAGGAAAUGACGUAUAUGAAAUAAAAAAAGAGAAAAAAAGAAAAAGAAAAAAAUACUAAGUAAAGAAAACGAUGAACGUAUCGUGUAUUUGGGUCAGUAGCACAACACUUGAAUGCGUGAAAUCGUAAGUCAAUGACCUGAUCGAUGACCUGUUGACUUAGAGAGGGUACAUUACUUGCGAACGAGAAAGAAUCUAAGCAAUGUUCACGGAAGUAAACGCGUAUAUACACAUAUAUGUAGUACGUAUAUACAAAUGGAAGCCAACUCCGUAAUAAACAGACAGAAAGAACAUCUUUAUCUCUCGAGAGAGUUGAUUCGUAAAUAAUGAUACACUUUAAAAUGGAUAAUAAAUCGUUACUAAUCGAAUUUUUUUCUUCGACAAAUAUAGACAUUUGUUUCGGUCAUUGUAUAUUAUAGAGCUAUGCACAUCAAAAUCAUUAUUCUUGUGCCUGAAGAAUGAAGGCAACGGUAUAAAAGCAGAGUGAAAGUUUCUCGUGAUAAUAGAAAUGGCAAUUUUUAAUAUUUAUAAACUAUCGAGUUCCUAUUGAGUAUCGGCCUUCUUAAUAAGAUUUUUAAAUACCUUUCUAAGUAUAUAUAGUUUAAAUAAAUACAUUAUACGAAUACUUUUUAUAUCUCCAUUACAGAUUCAUGUAUGAAUUAAUAAUCGUUAUUUUAUAGUAGAAUUUAUGCUUGAGAGAAUGCAAUCGUUAAAAUGAUAAUUCUUCAUUAUUAAGACAUAUUUAAUAUUGAUGAAUUUAUGGAAGAAUUUUAAUAAUAUGUAUAAAACUUAUAUUGCGUUUAAUCAAAUAAUACAUCAACGAUGCUGAUUUUUCCUACUUUUUAAUCUGUGACGGUACUGCCAAGUGCCAUGCAUUCCGUUGAAUCGCAUACAAAUAUGCAUGCAUGUACGAGGUACAUACAUAUGCAUGUAUACUCCAUAGUUAAAUGCAAAAUAAUUCGUUCAGCUCUCGAUUACAAACCUUUUUUUAAUGGAUAACGUCAUGAAAGAAAACGAAGACGAUUGACAAUGCUUCAUUAUUUUCUUUUUUUUUUCUUUUGUUAGACAAAAUUAAAAUGAUAGUAUGAAAACUUACCGGGAACGACUUCGCCAUUGAAUGUCAUUUCAACCAAAUGUGUAACAGCUUCAUGAGAUCCAGCUCUCGAGCCAUCAACUAUAACAAUAUUAUACAUCUAAGAUUGUAGUAAAUAUAAUUAGAGAUAAUUGAAUAAUAAUAAUACAUACUUUCAAAUUCAACUGGUUCGUUGACCACUCCAUUCGGUAUAUGACCAACUUGUAUAGCUCUUGCAUUGUAAGCUUGUGAUCUAAAAUUCAUAAACGUAUACAAUUAAAAAAAAUUAUAACGUGUACAAAAAUGUUUAUAUCUAA